CUUUUCUUGUCCUGAGAACUCCAUCAGGCCAGGGCUAUUUCUGGGGGGCCGUAGGAUGAGUGUGGGUGGUGUGCUACUAUCAACGUCCGAAGGAUGGAAUAAUCAAACUCUCAAGCUCAAAUUUAGCCUUGCAAAGAUAGUGUCACUUUCUGGUGCAGAAUAGACUUGUGGUAAAAUAAAGAAUCCGCUGUCUUCUAUCUAUUAAGGAAAAGGUCUACAUUCGCAGGAACAAAGUGUGUCCUUACAGCUAAUUCAC